GACGAACGCUGGCGGCGUGCUUAACACAUGCAAGUCGAACGGUGAAGCGCCUUCCUUUUUGGUGGGUGUGGAUGAGUGGCGAACGGGUGAGUAACACGUGAGUAACCUGCCCCCUUCUUCUGGAUAACCGCAUGAAAGUGUGGCUAAUACGGGAUAUUCUGGGUCUGUCGCAUGAUGGGUCUGGGAAAGAUAUUGUUUCGGUGGGGGAUGGGCUCGCGGCCUAUCAGCUUGUUGGUGGGGUGAUGGCCUACCAAGGCGGUGACGGGUAGCCGGCCUGAGAGGGUGGACGGUCACACUGGGAAUGAGACACGGCCCAGACUCAUACGGGAGGCAGCAGUGGGGAAUAUUGCACAAUGGGCGCAAGCCUGAUGCAGCGACGCCGCGGGAGGGACGGAGGCCUUCGGGUUGUGAACCUCUUUCGCCAGUGAAGCAGGCCUGCCUCGUUUGUGGGUGGGUUGACGGUAGCUGGAUAAGAAGCGCCGGCUAACUACGUG
rnacentral:rRNA from 1 species